rnacentral:rRNA from 1 species
AUACGUAGGGGGCGAACGUUGUCCGGAAUUAUUGGGCGUAAAGGGUACGCAGGCGGCCAAAUAAGUCAGAUGUGAAAUCCCAAGGCUUAACCUUGGUAAGCAUUUGAAACUGUAUGGCUUGAGUUAAGGAGAGGAAAGUGGAAUUCCUGGUGUAGCGGUGAAAUGCGUAGAUAUCAGGAGGAAUACCAGUGGCGAAGGCGACUUUCUGGACUUAAACUGACGCUGAGGUACGAAAGCGUGGGGAGCAAACAGGAUUAGAUACCCUGGUAGUCCACGCCGUAAACGAUGAGUGCUAGGUGUCGGGUGUCAAAGCUCGGUGCCGGAGCUAACGCAUUAAGCACUCCGCCUGGGGAGUACGUUCGCAAGAAUGAA